ensembl:lncRNA
AGGUGUCGUCUCCACUCCCAUCAUAGAGGUUGUCUCCAAUAACAGUGGAAGUGUAGUUCUACAGUGUGAGUCUAAAGGCUGGUAUCCAGAGCCUGAGGUGGUCUGGCUGGACGGUGAGGGAAACCUCUCUCUGCUGGACCUACAGAGACAGUCAGAGGUCCUGAUGACCUCUAUACUGUCAGCAGCAGAGUGACUGUGGAGAAGAGACACAGCAACAUCUUUAUCUGUAGAGUCCAACAGAAGGACAUCAACCAGACCAGAGAGACACACAUCUAUGUUCCAGGUUAUAAAGAGCUCUAAAUAUAUUAAACAUAUUGUCACUGUUGAGCUCUAGUUUGAUUCAAUAAUGUCAUUCUGUUCUCUCUUCUAUCUUUUCAUCUGAUUCAUUCACAGUUCAGUCGUCUCCUGGUGGAAUUUGGAUCAUCGUCAAUCUUCUUUGCAUUUUUGUGGUGCUCCUUAUUAUGAUGCUGAUAAACUGCACAAAGUGGAUCCUGAGGAAUGGAAUUAAACUGGAAGGAGAUGUAACACAUGGUGUGAAACAGUCAAAGUUAAAGGUCAAAGGAAAGCCAAAAGUCCAGAAGUGUGAUGUAAAUAUGAAUGCAGCUCAACUCCAGCUCUUAGUCGAGGGAAAUCAGCAACAGGAGGACCAGAGAGAGCAACUGGACAGAGUUCAGAGAUCGCAGACAGAGGAAACAUCAACAGCAGGAAAUAACACUGAAGACACUUUAAAACACAGAGAGACGCAGCGUUGAACGACGUGGACUAAAAACCUCCUGUAGUGACCGAGAACGAGGAGGAAAUCAUUGUGACACUGGAGGAUAUUCUCCAUCUUUUCCUGCUCUACCAUCACGCUGAGAGAGAAUGAUGAUGUUGUUUGUCUUCCUAGUUUACAAUCUAUCCAUUGUGACUUUGUUUUCAGUCUAUGUGAGCAGGUGUUGUCUUUGAGCCAGUGAAAAGGCUGCAGACACACAGUGAAGAAGGGAGAUCUUAAUGAUGUUGGUGUCCAGUCUAAGAUAUGAGCUGUGACUGAAGAUUCCUGCUUUCAUUUCAUGGAUUGUAUCAAAGUUCCCACUUUAGCACUUUAAAAGAAUCUGAACUGUUUUGUAAAAUGUCAACAGGUUGUGUACAAAAGGCUGUGACUGUGUUUAAUAUUCAUUAUUAUCAUCAUCAUCCAUUCUCAUCUCUUUGAACACAGAACUGUUCACUGACAGUUUCUUUAUGUGUUCAUUUUAUGAGUUUAUCUACAAAAGAAAAGUCUGCAUUGUUCUCCUUACACUGUGUGCUGGUUGAGAUUUGUCCUGUAAGGAGCUGUGGAUGUGACAGGAUGCUCCUUUAGUUUCUGGUUUUAGUGACAAUGAAAAUACUGAUCUUGGCAUUAACCUCUGUUCACAUUUUAGUAUUUAUUUCUGCACUUUUCUGUAUUUAUAAUUCCUUAACUGCUGUCUGUAAGUCAAAUUAAAGCUUUCUUGUACUCGACACUAUUAAAACUAUCAAUAGAUCAUACUCUCAUUUAUUAUGUCAUUGUGGUCAUUUUCAUCAUUGUCAGUAAUUCAGACACUAUUUGACUUUACAUUUGGAACCUUUAAAGUAAUUUAACAAUGUAAUAAAUCCUUAAAAACGUUAUGUUCAAUGGUCUGACUGAUAGAAAUAGUCCAUUUGUUUUCAUUUAGGCAGCAGAGCUGGGGGUUAAAGAGUUAAUUGGGAUGAUGUUGUUUGUCUUCCUAGUUUACAAUCUAUCCAUUGUGACUUUGUUUUCAGUCUAUGUGAUAUAAUAUUCUUUAUACUUAAUACUGUGAUCUUCUGCACAUUCCAGCAAAACCUGUAAAUCGUCCAUAUAAUGUAAUAUAAUCAUUUUAGCAUCUUAUAAUAAUGUUUAUGUACUAAGUGCUUCACAUAGGACCACAACUUCAUAACAACUUGAUCAUUUUGGUCAUUUGUAUUUAGAGAACAAUUCUUAUCAUGGCUGCCACUCAAGUACUUCCUUCUCCUUGAGAGAGAGAGAGAGAGAGAGAGAAAUUACUGAAGAUGUCAAAUCAAUAUCUUGUCAUACAUAUUGAGUACACACAGUUUCUGUUUGCCAGUAUUUUCUUGUUGUUGUUUAUCUCCUCAUUGUAUUAAUGAACAUUAUUAUUGACUGAAUGUAUUCUGAGAGAGACAUUGCACUGCCCUGAGUUACACUGUAUUACCAUUAUGGUGAGAACUACUGGAAUCUUUAUACUAAUAACAACUACUGAAAUAUUUGUUUACUAUAUUUUAUUGUUGUUGUUAUUCUGAUUGAUCUCAGUAUUGCUAGUUCCAUUAGUUUAGUCGUAUACUUUGUACAUCCGUUUAUACUUGACUAAUAAAAUACUUAAUAACCUUUACUGGUGUGUUUAUUUUAAAGUAAUAAUUCUUACAGCAUUAUUGUUCAAGAACAACUACAAAACGAUAUGAUGAUAGAAACAUGAAUCAGGUUCAACUCUAACUGGAGAGAUCUUCUGUAUAACAUUCAAAAUGUGUCUUUUAAAUAUACUAAAGUGUUUUGAUGCCCUGAUGAUCCACAGAGGGAGAAGCUCUUGAACUGUAGGUUCAGUGUCCUCAACCUGGCAACCCAGGUGAGCUUCUAGUGUGGGGAGGAGAGAUUGGGGGGAGACAACCUCCUACGAUGUUUUAAAUUUGGACUGCAGUACCCAUUUUAAACACUUGCUGUCAGUCUUAUUGCUCCUUUAAUGAUGUUGGUGUCCAGUCUGAG